rnacentral:rRNA from 1 species
UUAAGCCAUGCGAGUCUUUCCGCAAGGAAGGCAUACUGCUGAGUAACACGUGGAUAAUCUGCCCUUGGGUGGAGCAUAACCUCGGGAAACUGAGGCUAAUUCCCCAUAGGUUCUUGAGGCUGGAACGCGCUUGAACCAAAAGUUUCGACGCCCAAGGAUGAGUCUGCGGCUGAUCAGGCUGUUGGCGGGGUAACGGCCCACCAAACCUUAGACCAGUAGGGGCAAUGAGAGUUGUUGCCUCCAGUCGGGUACUGAGAUACUGACCCGGGUCCUACGGGACGCAGCAGGCGCGAAAACUCUGCAAUGCACGCAAGUGUGACAGGGGAACUCCAAGUGUUUCAGAACUUUUGUUUUGAUUCUUUUCCCAAGUGUAAAUAGCUUGGGGAAUAAGGGCUGGGUAAGACGGGUGCCAGCCGCCGCGGUAAUACCCGCGGCCCGAGUGGUGCUCAUUAUUAUUGAGCUUAAAGCGUUCGUAGCCGGCCUCGUAAAUCCUUGGGUAAAUCGGGCAGCUCAACUGUUCGACUUCCGAGGAGACUGCGAGGCUCGGGACCGGGAGAGGUCAGAGGUACUUCAGGGGUAGGGGUAAAAUCCUGUAAUCCUUGAAGGACCACCAGUGGCGAAGGCGUCUGACUAGAACGGAUCCGACGGUGAGGGACGAAGCCCUGGGGCGCAAACCGGAUUAGAUACCCGGGUAGUCCAGGGUGUAAACGCUGUGCGCUUGGUGUUGGGGGUCCUACGAGGGCACCCAGUGCCGGAGAGAAGUUGUUAAGCGCACCGCCUGGGGAGUACGGUCGCAAGACUGAAACUUAAAGGAAUUGGCGGGGGAGCACCGCAACGGGAGGAGCGUGCGGUUUAWUUGGAUUCAACGCCGAAAAACUCACCAGGGGCGACUGCCAUAUGAAGGCCAAGCUGAUGACUUUGCCUGAUUGGUAGAGAGGAGGUGCAUGGCCA